AAAACAUGGCUCGCACCAAGCAG
rnacentral:piRNA from 1 species